CAGAAACAAGAUGGUGGGUUGCUUCCCAGGCCAGCUCUCACAUGAGUGAACUGAGGAACAGCGUCAUUAGGACGAAUGCUGUUGCUGGUAAACAACCUAGUCUGUUGCUUCUUCCUGCUAAAUAGUAUCCAGAUGGGCAUCCUCUCCGUUGGUUUUCCCUUUCCUUGGCGAUGGUCACCUACACUCUUUACAAUGCAAACCAGGGCUAUAGAGAAGAAAUGUAGUGAUGAACAAUUCAGAAAUUUUUACAUUUUUUGAGUGUAGAAACCCAUGAACAGCCAUUGUUCCUGCCUCAAAACCGACUUGAAGGGGGACCCAGCACUUUCCUUUAACAAAUUCAGGAAAUAGAUUCAAGUUCACAAGGGUUUUUAAAAAAAUGAAUAUUUUACUGAGGAUUCUAUGGAAAGACAAAGAUGAAGAUAAGCCACUUAUCCCUUGCCUUUCCCUCUCGCAAGGUCCCCUUACAACAACUCUACCUUCUUCCCUCUCUCUCUUGUAGCCCCAACAUUGACAUCCCUUUUCAAAUGUAAAGUGACUUGGCUCUCUGGACUCCCCAGUAGGCCUCUUCACUUUCCUCCCACUAACCUGCAAAUAAAGUAUCCUCUUCGGGGA